CCUACGGGCGGCAGCAGUGAGGAAUAUUGGUCAAUGGGCGGGAGCCUGAACCAGCCAAGUCGCGUGAAGGAUGACGGCCCUGAGGAUUGUAAACUUCUUUUGUCAGGGAACAAUUGGGUCCACGCGUGGGCUUAGCGAGAGACCCUGAAGAAAAAGCAUCGGCUACCCCCGUGCCAGCGGCCGCGGUAAUACGGAGGAUGCGAGCGUUAUCCGGAUUUAUUGGGUUAAAGGGGUGCGUAGGCGGAAUAUCAAGUCAGCGGUAAAAAUUCGGGGCUCAACCCCGUCGUGCCGUUGAAACUGAUGUUCUUGAGUGGGCGAGAAGUAUGCGGAAUGCGCGGUGUAGCGGUGAAAUGCAUAGAUAUCGCGCAGAACUCCGAUUGCGAAGGCAGCAUGCCGGCUCCACACUGACGCUGAGGCACGAAAGCGUGGGGAGCGAACAGGAUUAGAUACCCCAGUAGUC
rnacentral:rRNA from 1 species